UACGUAGGGUCCGAGCGUUGUCCGGAGUUACUGGGCGUAAAGGGCGCGCAGGCGGCGGUGCUGGCCCGGCGUGAAAGCCCCCGGCUCAACCGGGGAGGGUCGUCGGGGACCGCACCGCUUGAGGGCGGUAGGGGCUGGUGGAAUGCCUGGUGUAGUGGUGAAAUGCGUAGAGAUCAGGCGGAACACCCGUGGCGAAGGCGACUUCUUGGCCUGUUCUUGACGCUGAGGCGCGAAAGCUGGGGGAGCAAACGGG
rnacentral:rRNA from 1 species